UACGGAGGGGGCUAGCGUUGUUCGGAAUUACUGGGCGUAAAGGGCGCGCAGGCGGCUGCUCAAGUCAGGCGUGAAAGGCCUGGGCUCAACCCGGGAAUUGCGCUUGAGACUGGGCUGGCUUGAGUGCGGGAGAGGAUGGUGGAAUUCCCAGUGUAGAGGUGAAAUGCGUAGAGAUCGGGAAGAACAUCAGUGGCGAAGGCGGUCUGCUGGGCCGUUGCUGACGCUGAGGCGCGACAGCGUGGGGAGCAAACAGG
rnacentral:rRNA from 1 species